GAUGAUUGACUUAUGGGUCUGAAAAGCUUGCCCUCCUUUCCUUGUUUUUUCUGCAUUGGCUCCAUUUGCAGAGAGGAGUCCUCUCCUCACUGUAGCGAGAUGGCCACCACAGCUGCAAACCUCACAGCCUCCCAGUUCAAGGUGAGUCUUUGUCCCUGCAUUCCUGUGAGCGCAUCUGCUCCCAUUGGCUACAGCAUGGUCACGGGACAGAGAAUGAGAAAUGCUAAUUGCCUUAGCCCAGACCACAUGCUGCGCCCACCGUGCAUAGGAACUGAAAUUAGGGAGGAGUGGACCUGCAAAUAAAAAUGAGGGCUGUUGCAGUAAAACACAGGGAAAGAAGUGC
rnacentral:lncRNA from 1 species